UCCUUUUGUAUUUGAGGCAAAUAGAGGACAGCAUUUUACAAAUCGCACUCCAGUUUGAAGCAAGAAAAGGCAAUUUAGGCAGGAUGAAGAGUUUUGUGAUGUUCCUGCUUCUCGUCAUGCUCAUCGUUGACCAUGGAGAGUGUUGGAGAUGAAGAAGAAGAGUAGCAGAAAUAGGAAGAUCCAAUGGCGAAGCACCUAUGACUUUGGAAAGGGACAGAGCAAACGCUCGAAGGGAAGAAUCAGCCGAUGCACAUGAACAGGUAGAAGAUGAAUCGCUUGACGAAGAUCAAAACUUUGAGGAUCCCGAAUACUUUCAGGAUUCUGAAGGAAGGCCAAGCGAUAAGGUCUCAUCUUAUGAAAAUUGAACCACUGAUCCCUAUAAACAAAAUCUUGAUGACAUGAUGAAGCGAGCCUUCAACAAAAGUGAACUUAUAUCUUCUAUUAUAUUCAAUUUCAUAGCUUAGCCAAUUUUGUCCAUUUCUGUAUUUGGGUAGGCUUUUCUAUUUAUAACCAAUUGUUGCAAAGAUUCGUUGAUGUUUUUCAGAAUUUUUCCACAAAAUGCGUAGAUCUGUUCCAUCGAGAAUCAGGAUGCAAAGGGGCAGUAAAUAAAGGGGUUUUAAACAGACUAUCUUAGUUCUUGACUUAUUUUAACUUGAUACAGUCAAUUUGCCACAUUCUAUUGGUCUUAAUAGAGUUCGUUUCAAGUGAGGCCGUCACGUUUUAGGUAUUCUUAAUUUUGACCAUACGUAGGAGCAUCAAGGAAUACCUCUAACUCAGUUCAAGGGUCGAGAAGCCGGGGGGCCUUAGCCCCCCGCCAACCCCCAAAAAAAACUUUCUUGUAUAGCUAAAAUACUUUAAUUUUGUAAAAUAUGGCUGCCAUUACACUGAUUUACUAGGGCUGCCCCCCUGAAUUACACGAGAAACCAGUUGUAACAGAUUUGUUACCACUAACUGCCAUUGUUGAGUAAAAUUUACCUGAACUUCUCCGUGAUCAAAACCUUUCUUCGUUGUUUUGUCUCUCUCUUUGGGACAUGAAAUGGACAACAUUUAGCACCUUUGCUAUUCAACCGGUCCCAAGGUAGUGCAAUUACACUAUUUCUUCAGUUCCGUCGGAACGAAAUUCUGAUUAGGAGGGGGGGCUGCCAAUUGUAUUCCUUCUCAUUCAGUACACUAUUAUAAAGGCAACAUACUGCAGCAUGAGCCCCCCAGUCCCCCAACAACCCCCCUUGCUUCCGACGGGCAUGUUUCUUGCUUUUCCAAAGUGAAUACAUGUACUGCUUAUGCAAUGUGUCUUUGUCAAAAAUGCCCUGAAUUUUUUUCAAUCAAUUUUCUUUGUAUCUUUCCCGUUGGGACAUAAAAUUGUCCCAUUGUUGUCCAGCAUUUUGCACCUUUGCCAUUUAGUCGGUUUCACAAGUCUAUUGGGGAUGUACCCUGUUGUUUGGCGAUAUACGGCCGGUACAAUACCUCGUUAAGAAAAAUGCCCCAAUUAGCCUUCUCUCAAUCAAUUCUCGCUCUAUCUUUAUCGUUUUUCAUUUGCGACAAAUAAAAUAAAGCUUAAUCGCUUGGUGGCAGGCAAACUUAAUCGCCAUUGGCAGUUCAUUCUGUAGCAAGGUCUUAACAACAUAAAGAGGUUUGUGGUGUUCCUUCUAGUCCUACUGUUGAUCGUUGAACAAGGGCACUGUUUUCAGAAUAUAGCAGAGGGAAGAAGAACUAGAAAUAGCCGCAUUGCAUCAAAUGUUGCGAAGAAGAAGCGAAGC